AUUGCACGCUGGCGGCAGGCCUAACACAUGCAAGUCGAGCGGAGCGGCGGACGGGUGAGUAAUGCCUAGGAAUCUGCCUGGUAGUGGGGGAUAACGUCAGGAAACGGGAGCUAAUACCGCAUACUAUCAGAUGAGCCUAUGUCGGAUUAGCUAGUUGGUGGGGUAAAGGCCUACCAAGGCGACGAUACGUAACUGGUCUGAGAGGAUGAUCAGUCACACUGGAACUGAGACACGGUCGAUACUCCUACGGUAUGCAGCAGUGGGGAAUAUUGGACAAUUGGCGAAAGCAUGAUCCAGCCAUGCCGCGUGUGUGAAGAAGGUCUUCGGAUUGUAAAGCACUUUAAGUUGGGAGGCGUUACCAACAGAAUAAGCACCGGCUAACUUCGUGCCAGCAGCCGCGGUAAUUC
rnacentral:rRNA from 1 species